GGCUGUGGUGGGAGGGCGACAGGCCUUGUAAAGGCUGUGACACGGAUUCUAACCCUGGCUUUCCCUUCACCUGGAGUGGCAGGUCAUGCCACCACUGCUGCUAUCACGACAUUACUGAACCGGACUGCUGGUAUGUGCGUGAAGUGUUUGCAAGUGGAUCAAGCUGCCACAGCUGACCGGUGAACGGAACUGCUGACUUCCUGACAAUGCAGAAG
rnacentral:lncRNA from 1 species